CCUACGGGAGGCAGCAGUGAGGAAUAUUGGUCAAUGGGCGUAAGCCUGAACCAGCCAAGUCGCGUGAGGGAUGAAGGUUCUAUGUAUCGUAAACCUCUUUUACAGGGGAAUAAAGUGUGGGACGUGUCCUAUUUUGUAUGUACCUUAUGAAUAAGGAUCGGCUAACCCCGUGCCCGCAGCCGCGGUAAUACGGAGGAUCCGAGCGUUAGGCGGUUUUAUUGGGUUUAAGGGGUGCGGAGGCGGGAGGUUAAGUCAGCGGGAAAAUAUUGGUGUUCAACACCGGACUGCCGUUGAAACUGGUCUGCUUGAGUGAGCGAGAAGUAAGCGGAAUGCGUGGUGUAGCGGUGAAAUGCAUAGAUAUCACGCAGAACUCCGAUUGCGAAGGCAGCAUACCGGCGCUCAACUGACGCUGAGGCACGAAAGCGUGGGGAUCGAACAGGAUUAGAUACCCCUGUAGUC
rnacentral:rRNA from 1 species